AGAGUUUGAUUAUGGCUCAGGAUGAACGCUGGCGGCGUGCUUAACACAUGCAAGUCGAACGAAGCUAAGGGAGCUUGCUCCCAAAGCUUAGUGGCGGACGGGUGAGUAACGCGUGGGUAACCUGCCCUAUAGAGGGGGAUAACGUUCGGAAACGAACGCUAAUACCGCAUAAACCAUAAGGAGCUGCAUGGCUCUGAUGGCAAAGAUUUAUCGCUAUAGGAUGGACCUGCGUUGGAUUAGCUAGUUGGUGAGAUAACAGCUCACCAAGGCGACGAUCCAUAGCCGGCCUGAGAGGGUGAACGGCCACAUUGGGACUGAGACACGGCCCAAACUCCUACGGGAGGCAGCAGUGGGGAAUAUUGCACAAUGGGCGCAAGCCUGAUGCAGCGACGCCGCGUGAAGGAAGAAGGUCUUCGGAUUGUAAACUUCUAUCAGCAGGGAAGAAUAAAUGACGGUACCUGACUAAGAAGCCCCGGCUAACUACGUGCCAGCCGCCGC
rnacentral:rRNA from 1 species